GAUUUCAACUGAAAAAGUCAUCAACAACAAAGUUGUAUAACUCAUCGAUAUCUAUAACUUUUAUUUGGGUCAUUUCUUCAUCCGAGAAAGUUAUUUGUAACAUUGUUCACAAGAUGUUUAUAUCUUUUAUAUAUAGUUUAUAAACUACAAGAGAGAUAUAUAAUUUUUGUUGAACCAUUUUAUUAUCACUUUAUCGGAUGAAGAAAUGAACAAAAUAAAAGUUAUAGAUAUUGAUGAGUUAUACAACUAAGUUGUUGAUGAAUUUUUUAGUUGAAAUC
rnacentral:pre_miRNA from 1 species